rnacentral:lncRNA from 1 species
ACCGGGAUUCCUGGAAGAGACGGGGAUUUGGGGGAAACGGAGAGGGUUCUGCGAGGAGACGGGACCAGUGAGACAGGGGCUAUUCUGGGCCUGUCCGAGUUGGGAAUUCCCCAGAGACCUGGAACUUGCUCUCCACAGCCACAGCCUUGGCCCCGCCCUGUAUCUGUGCUGCCGCCAGUAAGGCUGCCCCUGGGGAGGGCGGAGCCAGAACCUCACAGCCUCACAGGGCAGAGCAAGGCUGGAUUGACGGACACCAGGCCGAGAAGAAACCCUUGGGGUUGGCGGCAGUUCUUAGUGAGGGCAAUUCAUUCAAUCCAGAGCCAGAAACAGGAUUUUAUUUAAAAUUUAUUGUAAUGGGGUCCGCGCAAAAGGAAGGGGUGGAGGGUGGGGUACAUGCAGGGGACACAGGAACACGAUGACAUGGCCAGGGCCACAACUUCUUCUGUCGUGGGGAAGAGGGAUGAAAAGACAAGACCAGGGCUGGAGCUGGGGUGGAAGAGGGGAGGGGGACACUGGCUGCAUUCCCCCGCCCCCAGGAAGCACCUCUAGGCCCUGGACCCCUCGCUCACCCUGGCCCCUAAGACUCCAUCUCUUCUCUGCCUCUGGCCCUCCUGGCUCUUCCUCCUGCUCCCCUUGACUUUUUCCCCUGACAGAUUCUCAAGUAGGACGAUGUUCAGGGCCUGACCCCAACCCCCCAUACCACCUUAUGAAGGUACAACCUUUGCCGGCCCUGCUUCUGCCCCUCCUCAAACCUCACCGCUUUCCCUCUUUGGGACAGCUCUGAUCCCCCUCCUUCCUCUCCUCCCUCCCCCUGGAAAAAAAAAAAAAAGGAAAAGAAAGCACCAACUCCCCGGGGAGGGGCUGCAGACAGCAGGGGGAGAGGACUGGAAGGAGAGAAGAGGACCGUCGAGGGAAGAGGCUCACAAGUCCCUGGGAAGACAGGGCAUGGGCUUACAGAGAGGAGAGGGGGUACGGGCAGUGGCUGCUCGUGUCCUCUGCCACCCCUGCCCACUGUCCAGGGGACUUCAACACAACCGAGGGGACAGGUUUGUGUGGGGUCAGGUCUGACAGAAGAGGAGCAGGAGAAACAAAUCGUUAAAACCUAGCGAAUUCCCCUAAGAAAACAUUUCUUCCUCCUUUCCUUCUGGAGGCUCCUUGGUUGGUAGGGAAAUAGGAGUUGGUGGGAAAAGAGGGGGGAGAGGAGCUUGUACCAAGGGACUCUACUCCAUUCUCCCCUCUCCCCCGCAACCAACUUGGAGCUCACCAGGGUUGGGAGGGAAGUGGCUGAGAGCUCACAGGCACCCCCUCCGCCCCCGAGAGGGAGCCCACAGCUGUGGGAGGGGCUGCUACUGCUGCCGCUGCUGCCGCUGCCGCCGCUGCCGCUGCCGCCGCCAUUGGACAAACCUCACCAGUACCUGCACAGGAGAAACACCACGGAUCACAGCGCGAUCUGAAUGGCAAGAGCCUUGCCCUCACCCCACACCUUCCCAGCCUGCUUCCCCUGGGACACAGCCGUUGCUCACUUCCUAUCUGGACCCCAGAGGCCUCAGCCUGCAUCCUCACCCAGACAGAGCAGUUCUCAAGGAUCCUCCCUGUGCCCAGAAGUCUCCCUAGCCUGAGUGGUACAUGGGCAUCCCUCGCCUUCCUGAGAUCCCCUAUUGGGCCCUUUGAGCCCCGUUGUCCCCCACACCCCCCAUCCCGCCCCCCAGCCAUGCCCCACGCCUUGCCUGGUGGGUGCGGGGGUCCCCCUCAGCAGGUGGGCUGUGGCUGGGGGGCGUCUCCCGGGACAGGGGGGGCGGCCCCCCCCAGAUGGGUCUGCAUGUGGCCGGCCAGCUGGGCAGGGGUCUUGCAGUGCACGCUGCACAGCUUGCACAGGAUGCGGUCAGCCCGCGGGGCCUGGAGCCCGUGGUCCUUCACCGCGUGGAUGCGCAGGUGCGUGCUGGUAAAGCCCGGCCCGUGUACUCCACCUGCCCCAGGAGCUGGAGACAAGACCUUGUGGCUGCGCAGCGGAAACCUUGCCUUGUGACCCCUGGAACUGGCUUUCUUGACUACUCCUUCCCCAGAGCAGCCAAGUUCCACUCCCGCUUUCCCCACACAUUACCAGGAGGUUCAACCUCUCUGGCAGAUCAUCUCUUCCAACCAGGACUUCUUAGAGUCUAAUGAUGUUCAUUCAGGUGUCCCCCCGCUGCUCCCUUGACCUCUUGUAGGAAUCUAGACGCCACGAGCUCUUGGCUACAGCACCCUUAACCCGUAUCCGUGGCAAGGCGUCUGGCCAGGCGCCCACCCUCUGCCCCUGGCCCUCCCGGCAGCCCUCGGCAUGUACCUUUGUUGCAGAGCUCACAGACAUGGUGAGGACCCUGGCUGUGCACCUUCAUGUGGUCCGAAAUAUAAGCCGAGCUCAGCAUCUUGCCACACACGUGACAUGGCACUUUCUCCUCGUGUCGUACUGUGUGCGCCCGCAGCCGAUCCUUCGUGGCGAAAGCUGCCUCACAUUUCUGAGGAGGGGGGAGGGGCGUGGGGGGUGUCACAGGAGAGUUAAAGCUUGGUGGGCUGGGGAGGGGGGAGCAAGAGAUUAAAGGAAUCAGAGCCUUGGGGAUCUUUGAUCUGUAGGAAAUGGGAGUGACAUGAUGAGGCCUUGAAGAAGGGAUGAGAAAAUGGAGCAAAAAGGCAAAAAGAAGAGAGAGAAAAAGGGGGUCUGAGAGACUGACUCAGACAGCUACCAUGAGGAUCAAAAUCAUGAAAACCAAGACAGGAGGAGGCGGGCUUCCU